rnacentral:ncRNA from 2 species
GGACGAAACUCUGGAGAGACUCAUUUAAUUAUGAGCACCGAAGGAGCAAGGUAACUAUAGUAAUUUAAUAUGGUUUCUAAAGUGAAUUAUUUUCAGAAACCUUGAAAUAAACUAUUUAAAGUUACUGAAACUCUCAGGUAAAAGGACAGGGGAUAGGAU